rnacentral:tRNA from 1 species
UCCCUGGUAGCUCAGUUGGUAAAGAAUCUGCCUGCAAUGCAGGAGACCCAGGUUCAAUUCCUGGGUUGGGAA